UUGAAUCUUUCUUUUUGUUUGUCGAACUAUUUGUAAAGGUUCGUUGGUGAACCCGUAAAACCAACAAAGGUUUUUGGUGAACCCGAAAAACCAAAGUGUAAAGGUUCGUUGGUGAGCCCGCAAAACCAACAAAGGUUUUUGGUGAACCCGGAAAACCAAAGUGUAUAGGUUCGUUGGUGAGCCCGUAAAACCAACAAAGAUUUUUGGAUUGUGAGCCUGGAAAACAAUCCAACUGUAAUCCGCGAGAUUAUAGUGAAUUCCCAAGGGGUCGCUUGGGGAGUGGACGUAGGUGUUAAGGAGAGCACCGAACCACUAUAUAUUGUUGUGUUUGUGUUGUGCUUGUGUUUACAUUUAUUCUUGCAUUAUCUUCCAUCUUUGUUCUAGUUUAACUCAUUCAAAUAAUCUAAGAAAGCAACCACCG
rnacentral:lncRNA from 1 species